rnacentral:rRNA from 1 species
CAGCCGCCGCGGUAAUACGAAGGGUGCAAGCGUUACUCGGAAUUACUGGGCGUAAAGCGUGCGUAGGCGGCUUCUUAAGUCGGAUGUGAAAUCCCUGAGCUUAACUUAGGAAUUGCAUUCGAUACUGGGAAGCUAGAGUAUGGGAGAGGAUGGUAGAAUUCCAGGUGUAGCGGUGAAAUGCGUAGAGAUCUGGAGGAAUACCGAUGGCGAAGGCAGCCAUCUGGCCUAAUACUGACGCUGAGGUACGAAAGCAUGGGGAGCAAACAGGAUUAGAUACCCGCGUAGUCCCUGUCUCUUAUAC